rnacentral:rRNA from 1 species
UACACAGGGUGCAAGCGUUAAUCGGAAUUAUUGGGCGUAAAGAGUGCGUAGACGGUUAUUUAAGUCAAAUGUGAAAUCCCCGGCCUCAACCUGGAAAUGGCAUUUGAGACUGAAUAGCUAGGGUGUGGAAGAGGGAAGCGGAAUUUCCGGUGUAGCGGCGAAAUGCGCAAAUAUCGGAAAAAACAUCAGUGGGGAAAGCGGCUUCCUGGCCCACCUCCGACGUUCAGGCACGAAAGCGUGGGGAGCAAACAGGAUUAUAUACCCUGGUAGUCCACGCCAUAAACGAUGAGGACUAUACGUUGGAGGGUUUAGUCUUUCAGUGUCGCAGCUAACGCGUUAAGUCCUCCGCCUGGGGAGUACGGCCGCAAGGUUGAAACUCAAAGGAAUUGACGGGGACCCGCCCAAGCGGUGGAGCAUGUGGUUUAAUUCAAUGCAACGAGAAAAACCUUACCUGGUCUUGACAUCCACGGAAUCCUGUAGAGAAGCGGGAGUUCCGCAAGGAACCGUGAGACAGGUGGUGCAUGGCUGUUGUCAACUCGUGUCGUGAGAUGUUGGGUUAAGUCCCGCAACGAGCGCAACCCCCGUCGUUAGUUGCCAACAUUUAGUUGGGCACUCCACCGAGACCGCCGGUGAUAAAGCGGAGGAAGGGGGGGAGGACGUCUACUCAUCAUGCUCCUUACAUACUGGGCU